rnacentral:rRNA from 1 species
GAUGAACGCUGGCGGCGUGCUUAACACAUGCAAGUCGAACGGGAAACCUUUUAUUGAAGCUUCGGCAGAUUUAGCUGGGUUCUAGUGGCGGACGGGAGAGUAACGCGUGGGUAACCUGCCUUAUACAGGGGGAUAACAACCAGAAAUGGUUGCUAAUACCGCAUAAGCGCACAGGACCGCAUGGUCCGGUGUGAAAAACUCCGGUGGUAUAAGAUGGACCCGCGUUGGAUUAGCUAGUUGGCAGGGUAACGGCCUACCAAGGCGACGAUCCAUAGCCGGCCUGAGAGGGUGAACGGCCACCUUGGGACUGAGACACGGCCCAGUCUCCUACGGUAGGCAGCAGUGGGGAAUAGUGCACCCGGGGGGAAACACUGAGGCAGCGAGGCGUCGUGAAGGAAGAUGUAUCUCGGUAUGUAACCUUCUAUCAGCAGGGAAGAUUGUGACUGUACCUGACUAAGACGCCCCGGCUAACUACG